rnacentral:rRNA from 1 species
AUUGAACGCUGGCGGCAUGCCUUACACAUGCAAGUCGAGCGGCAGCGCGGGGGCAACCCUGGCGGCGAGCGGCGGACGGGUGAGUAAUACAUCGGAACGCGUCCUUUCGUGGGGGAUAACCAGUCGAACGACUGGCUAAUACCGCAUGAGAUCUCACGAUGAAAGCGGGGGACCGCAAGGCCUCGCGCGCUUGGAGCGGCCGAUGUCGGAUUAGCUAGUUGGCGGGGUAAAAGCCCACCAAGGCGACGAUCCGUAGCUGGUUUGAGAGAACGACCAGCCACACUGGGACUGAGACACGGCCCAGACUCCUACGGGAGGCAGCAGUGGGGAAUUUUGGACAAUGGGGGCAACCCUGAUCCAGCCAUGCCGCGUGUGUGAAGAAGGCCUUCGGGUUGUAAAGCACUUUCGGCCGGAACGAAAUCGCGCGGAUUAAUAACCCGCGUGGAUGACGGUACCGGAAGAAGAAGCACCGGCUAACUACGUGCCAGCCGCCGCGGUAA